rnacentral:rRNA from 1 species
GACGAACGCUGGCGGCGUGCCUAAUACAUGCAAGUCGAACGCAGUGGGGACGGGUGAGUAACACGUGGGUAACCUCCCAUCAGAGGGGAUACCACUUGGAAACAGGCGCUAAACCCAUACUGAUGGAUGGACCCGCGGGGCAUUAGCUAUGUGGUGAGGAGACGGCCCACCAAGGCGACGCUGCUUAGCCGGCCUGGUAGGGUGAUCGGCCAGACUGGGACUGAGACACGGCCCAGACUCCUACGGGAGGCAGCAGUAGGGAAUCUGCGGCAAUGGACGAAAGUCUGACCGAGCAACGCAGCGUGAGUGAAGAAGGUUUUCGGGUCGUAAAGCUCUGUUGUUAGAGAAGCGGUAUCUGACCAGGAAGCCACGGCUAACUACGUGCCAGCAGCCGCGGUAAUAC